rnacentral:rRNA from 1 species
GAUGAACGCUAGCUACAGGCUUAACACAUGCAAGUCGAGGGACCGGCGCACGGGUGAGUAACACGUAUCCAACCUGCCCUUUACUCGGGGAUAGCCUUUCGAAAGAAAGAUUAAUACCUGAUAGUAAGGAUGGGGUUGCGUUUCAUUAGGUUGUUGGUUAGGUAACGGCUCACCAAGCCUUCGCUGGAUAGGGGUUCUGAGUGGAAGGCCCCCCACAUUGGAACUGAGACACUGUCCAAACGCGUACGGGAGGCAGCAGUGAGGAAUAUUGGUCAAUGGGCGGUAGCCUGAACCAGCCAAGUAGCGUGAAGGAUGAAGGCUUAUGGGUCGUAAACUUCUUGUAUAUAAGAAUAUGUAUUAUAUGAAUAAGGAUCGGCUAACUCCGUGCCAGCAGCCGCGGUAAUUC